AUACGGAGGGUGCAAGCGUUACUCGGAAUCACUGGGCGUAAAGCGCGCGCAGGCGGGCUGAUAAGUUGGAUGUGAAAGCCUACGGCUCAACCGUAGAACUGCAUCCAAAACUGUCAGUCUAGAGUGUGGGAGAGGAAGAUGGAAUUAGUUGUGUAGGGGUAAAAUCCGUAGAGAUAACUAGGAAUACCGAAAGCGAAGGCAAUCUUCUGGAACACUACUGACGCUGAGGCGCGAAGGCGUGGGGAGCAAACAGGAUUAGAUACCCUAGUAGUCC
rnacentral:rRNA from 1 species